AUACGUAUGGUGCAAGCGUUGUUGGGAAUUACUGGGCGUAAAGCGCGCGUAGGCGGUUUGGUAAGUCAGAUGUGAAAGCCCUGGGCUUAACCUGGGAAUGGCAUUCGAUACUGCAGAGCUAGAGUAUGGUAGAGGGAAGUGGAAUUUCCGGUGGAGCGGUGAAAUGCGUAGAUAUCGGAAGGAACACCAGUGGCGAAGGCGACUUCCUGGGCCAAUACUGACGCUGAGGUGCGAAAGCGUGGGGGGCAAACAGGAUUAGAAACCCGAGUAGUCC
rnacentral:rRNA from 1 species